AAAUCUUCCUAAAAAAGUUCUACGACGUAACCUACGAAAAUUAGCCAGACGUUGCCCGUGCGUUGCGAACGAGCGAGCGAAGCCUUUGCCCUCGAGCGACGCCACACCAGAUCCUUCGCCCUCGCAGCCGCCGCCGACCCCCUCCCUCAAACGCCGCCUCCCGUCGCUGCCGCCCCCGCCACCUCCCGUCGCGGCCGCCCCCGCCACCUCCCGUCCGGCCUGCCCGGCCAUGGCAACACCGUCGGCGGACUCCUCCUCCCCCUCACCUUCUCUCCCUCUCCCAAGGGAGGGAAGGGAAUGGAAGGGGUCCGGCGGCAAGGGGAGGCAGCGCCCAGAUCCGCAGCCGCACCGGCUGCAACCAUGGAGGUCCGACCCGGCUGCAGCCAUGGACUGAGACGUCCGAAACCCUAGCUACCCGUGGAGGUCCGACGCCUCAACCUCCAAGGAAAGGACGCGCGUUGGCUGCAGGCCAUCUCCGGCGACCUCCGACCAUGGUUGCUCGGAUCUGGACCAGCUGCUGCUCCUACUGCUUCAGGUGAACGAGGACGAGCCCUCCCUCAUGGCUGUUGCGGCUGCCUACUCCCUCCUCCUACCCCCUGGCCUGGUGUGUGAACAAAGGAAGCCUUGCGCCAAGGAGAAGCGGACGUGGUGUUCGACUAGGCCAAAGAGAGGACAGGAGAGGACCACAGAGAGCAAAGGAGAGGAUAGAGUCAGAGCGCCGUCACUCAGCCGUGGGUAAAUCCGGUCAUGCUGCUUCAGGUUCAGGGUCUGCCUUGCUAUGAUACAAUGCGGGAGGAGAUCAACAUGUAGAGCAAGGUCUCCUGGUCCAAGUCCCCUGUCAGGAUGUGGUUCAACAUCAAGGGCAAGGCGCAGGAUUUCCAUGCGGAUAACGAUGCUACUACCCAAGGAAGGUUCCCCUUCGUUCAAUGCAUUUGAGAUUGCCAUCAUCAUCAUCCCGUGCCUGUAAUUUCUCACUUCCGUCGGACGCUUCCAGUCCAUGUUCCAAGCAUUGAUUCAGAGGCGCAUUAGCACCAAUCAGGUCCCCAUCAAAAGAACGUCUUGUCUCUUCACAUAGGACAUGGCCUCCUCCAAGCCUCAGUUCAUCCCUUGUCUGAAAUCAAUUCAAUGGUGUACAAGUACAUAGAACGUCCCAAUCAAACAUUACUUUUUCCCAAGUAACACACGCAGUAGAUGUUAUGUUUGUCCGGAGCUGCCUAGAUUUUUUUUGUAUAUGCUUCUCAUGUCAGCAACAGAUAGGAGUAGUUUUUUUUUUAACGUGGUCAAGUUUCUACUUUUGAUCCCAGGGACGAAGAACUACUGAAGAAUUUGUCAGUUUUUCCUUUGCAUUUUUGCUGCCUCUGUUUAGUCCAGGGGCUAA